GGAACAAAAUUUUCCCCCAAUUUUUCUCACCAACCUUCAUUUUACCCCAAAUUCACCAACCCUCAUUCUCCGCUGCAGGCGUCACGGUUGCACCAUCGUCACUCCAUUUGCUCGCGCCACCGUCGUCGCGCUCCGUUGCUGCCAUGCCGCUGUCGCUCCCCACAUUUGCGCCAUUGUCGCUUCUUUCUUCUGUUGCCGCCGUCGCUCCUCCUACUUUGAUUUUUCUUCGCUCUCUCUCAAUCGAGCUCACAAGAACCAUUCAAGGCCUCGUCGAAUUGCUCUCUUUGUGGAGCCUUCUCCUUUUGCGAGUCCCCUACCUUUUUGCUGUUAUUGCUUCUUCAUUAUGUGGAUCGUUUGAAAUUGAAACCCUUUUUAGUUUGUUCUGUUCUAGAAUUACAAAACAUUGGGUUUUGGAUUAUUGCUAUAGCUAUUGAAAUUGCUGUGUCGAGUGUUGACUUUGUGAUUAUUGGAUGGCGUUUAUCAUUAGUCAAAAGUUAUAAGUAUAACAGUUAGUAAGCACAGGAUCUUUUUAAUAAUUAAUAUUAGUUUAUGGUUUUGUAAAGUAAGAGUAACCCUGGAAGAAACCUUUUUAAACUUUUUAAUAAAGGACUAUAUAGUUUAGAGUACUAUAUAAUCAAAAUUUCAGCUGCUGUACAAAUAUGCAUUUAUAUUUAGUUCACUCUUAUAUUAUAUUUAGUAAUAAUCAUAGGACAAAAGUAUUAAAACAGUUACUGAAGUAAAAAUACAAUAGAAAAAAUUGGAAGAUUGUAUGUGGGGCCUGUGAAAUAUAUCUAAUAUGAAAAUCAUGCUCUUCCCUCAAAUCCAAUGCUCUUCCAAGCAUUCAAGUCUCAAAUAUGAAAAUCAUCUUAAUAAUGAAGGGUCGGUUCCUUUUUCAUUUUUUGGUUUCAAAAUUGAUUUACUUAAAUUAUGAUCAAGUGUUUAAUUUUGAAGGGUUCACUUGAAUUAAACAAACCAUUUUUCUUAAUUUAUUUAUUUAUUUACUGCCCCUCUCAUUUUGUUGUGGUUUUUAAUUUUUAGAGGUAAAGGCUUAUCUAUAGUGAUAUUGGUUGAGAGAUAUAGCAAUGGUACUGCUAAGAGAUAUGUGUUAGGUGAUGAUUCACAGUUGCAAACUAUCCUUGUUGGGGAGGAUAGGUCUACAACAAACAGGUUCCAAGAUUUGCAUUCUUUUGAUGGAAGAAUAUCGUGGCUUCCACAGAUAAUCAAGGAUUUUGUUCUACCAGCUGGCUUUCCUGGAUCUGUUUCGGGUGAUUACUUGAACUACAUGUUGUUGCAGUUCCCUACCAAUGUGACUGGAUGGAUCUUGUAACUAUAUGCAAAUAAAUUGCGGCAAACAACGUUGAUGAGACAGAGAUUUAUGUCUUGGGAGGCAGAAGUGGUGAGAUAAGUGUUUUGUUUUCCAGAAACUUCGUAGAGGCACAUUCAAAUCUGCAGGGUUCAACAAGCAAAAACAUCACAAAUUUUAUUGUACAAGAACCAAUAACGGUAGCAGCAAUAACCCAUGUUACACCUGCCAAUAAUGUUUCAACCACUGAUCUUCCAGUUUCUAAAUGGCAAAGUUCGGCUGCUAUUGCAACAAUGGUUACUGGAGAGCAAUCUUUGGACGCUGCUAGCGCUCUGAGACUGGUACAUAUUAUGUAACCAUUAUUAUUUUAUAUUUAAUACCUUGCUUUUUUUCAUUUGGCAGAAAAAAAAUCCAACAUAUUUUGCUAUAUAUAAGCAUAAUUUCUAUUA